GAGGAUGCUGAUCAUUCACUGG
rnacentral:miRNA from 1 species